AUUGAACGCUGGCGGCAUGCCUUACACAUGCAAGUCGAACGGCAGCACGGGAGCAAUCCUGGUGGCGAGUGGCGAACGGGUGAGUAAUGUAUCGGAACGUGCCUAGUUGUGGGGGAUAACGUAGAGAAAUUUACGCUAAUACCGCAUACGAUCUAGGGACGAAAGCGGGGGAUCGCAAGACCUCGCGCAGUUCGAGCGGCAGAUAGCAGAUUAGGUUGUUGGUGGGGUAAAAGCUCACCAAGCCGACGAUCUGUAGCUGGUUUGAGAGAACGACCAGACACACUGGGACUGAGACACGGCCCAGACUCCUACGGGAGGCAGCAGUGGGGAAUUUUGGACAAUGGGGGCAACCCUGAUCCAGCAAUGCCGCGUGCAGGAAGAAGGCCUUCGGGUUGUAAACUGCUUUUGUACGGAACGAAACGGUCCUUUCUAAUACAGAGGGCUAAUGACGGUACCGUAAGAAUAAGCACCGGCUAACUACGUGCCAGCCGCCGCCGUAA
rnacentral:rRNA from 1 species